GACGAACGCUGGCGGCGUGCUUAACACAUGCAAGUCGAACGGAAAUGUCCUGCUUUUGUGGGGUGCUCGAGUGGCGAACGGGUGAGUAACACGUGAGUAACCUGCCCUUGACUUUGGGAUAACUUCAGGAAACUGGGGCUAAUACCGGAUAGGAGCUCCUGCUGCAUGGUGGGGGUUGGAAAGUUUCGGCGGUUGGGGAUGGACUCGCGGCUUAUCAGCUUGUUGGUGGGGUAGUGGCUUACCAAGGCUUUGACGGGUAGCCGGCCUGAGAGGGUGACCGGCCACAUUGGGACUGAGAUACGGCCCAGACUCCUACGGGAGGCAGCAGUGGGGAAUCUUGCACAAUGGGCGGAAGCCUGAUGCAGCAACGCCGCGUGCGGGAUGACGGCCUUCGGGUUGUAAACCGCUUUCGCCUGUGACGAAGCGUGAGUGACGGUAAUGGGUAAAGAAGCACCGGCUAACUACGUG
rnacentral:rRNA from 1 species